rnacentral:rRNA from 1 species
UGCGUAGGUGGCGGGGUAAGUCGGAUGUGAAAUCUCCGAGCUCAACUCGGAAAAUGCAUUGGAAACUGCCUUGCUCGAAGGUUGGAGGGGGACUGGAAUGCUUGGUGUAGCAGUGAAAUGCGUAGAUAUCAAGCGGAACACCAGUGGCGAAGGCGAGUCCCUGGACAACUCCUGACACUGAGGCACGAAAGCUAGGGAGCAAACA